AAUAGACAGUAACAGCAGUAUACUGUAGGUAGGGGUAAAGGAUAGAUAAUAGACAGUAACAGCAGUAUACUGUAGGUAGGGGUAAAGGAUAGAUAAUAGACAGUAACAGCAGUAUACUGUAGGUAAAGGACAGAUAAUAGACAGUAACAGCAGUAUACUGUAGGUAGGGGUAAAGGAUAGAUAAUAGACAGUAACAGCAGUAUACUGUAGGUAGGGGUAAAGGAUAGAUAAUAGACAGUAACAGUAUACUGUAGGUAGGGGUAAAGGAUAGAUAAUAGACAGUAACAGCAGUAUACUGUAGGUAGGGGUAAAGGAUAGAUAAUAGACAGUAACAGCAGUAUACUGUAGGUAGGGGUAAAGGAUAGAUAAUAGACAGUAACAGCAGUAUACUGUAGGUAGGGGUAAAGGAUAGAUAAUAGACAGUAACAGCAGUAUACUGUAGGUAGGGGUAAAGGAUAGAUAAUAGACAGUAACAGCAGUAUACUGUAGGGGUAAAGGAUAGAUAAUAGACAGUAACAGCAGUAUACUGUAGGUAGGGGGUAAAGGAUAGAUAAUAGACAGAACAGCAGUAUACUGUAGGUAGGGGUAAAGGAUAGAUAAUAGACAGUAACAGCAGUAUACUGUAGGUAGAGGUAAAGGAUAGAUAAUAGACAGUAACAGCAGUAUACUGUAGGUAGGGGUAAAGGAUAGAUAAUAGACAGUAACAGCAGUAUACUGUAGGUAGGGGUAAAGGAUAGAUAAUAGACAGUAACAGCAGUAUACUGUAGGUAGAGGUAAAGGAUAGAUAAUAGACAGUAACAGCAGUAUACUGUAGGUAGGGGUAAAGGAUAGAUAAUAGACAGUAACAUCAGUAUACUGUAGGUAGGGGUAAAGGAUAGAUAAUAGACAGUAACAGCAGUAUACUGUAGGUAGGGGUAAAGGAUAGAUAAUAGACAGUAACAGCAGUAUACUGUAGGUAGGGGUAAAGGAUAGAUAAUAGACAGUAACAGCAGUAUACUGUAGGUAGGGGUAAAGGAUAGAUAAUAGACAGUAACAGCAGUAUACUGUAGGUAGGGGUAAAGGAUAGAUAAUAGACAGUAACAGCAGUAUACUGUAGGUAGGGGUAAAGGAUAGAUAAUAGACAGUAACAGCAGUAUACUGUAGGUAGGGGUAAAGGAUAGAUAGUAGACAAUAACAGCAGUA